UGGGGAAUAUUGCACAAUGGGCGCAAGCCUGAUGCAGCAAUGCCGCGUGAGUGAAGACGGCCUUAGGGUUGUAAAACUCUUUCGCUAGGGAAGAUAAUGACGGUACCUAGUAAAGAAGUCCCGGCUAACUCCGUGCCAGCAGCCGCGGUAAUACGGAGGGGACUAGCGUUGUUCGGAAUUACUGGGCGUAAAGCGCACGUAGGCGGACCAGAAAGUUGGGGGUGAAAUCCCGGGGCUCAACCCCGGAACUGCCUCCAAAACUAUUGGUCUAGAGUUCGAGAGAGGUGAGUGGAAUUCCAAGUGUAGAGGUGAAAUUCGUAGAUAUUUGGAGGAACACCAGUGGCGAAGGCGGCUCACUGGCUCGAUACUGACGCUGAGGUGCGAAAGUGUGGGGAGCAAACAGGAUUAGAUACCCUGGUAGUCCACACCGUAAAACGAUGAAUGCCAGUCGUCGGGUAGCAUGCUAUUCGGUGACACACCUAACGGAUUAAGCAUUCCGCCUGGGGAGUACGGUCGCAAGAUUAAAACUCAAAGGAAUUG
rnacentral:rRNA from 1 species